GAUGAAGAACGCAGCGAAAUGCGAUAAGUAGUGUGAAUUGCAGAAUUCAGUGAAUCAUCGAAUCUUUGAACGCUCAUUGCGCCCCUUGGUAUCCCGAGGGGCAUGCCUGUUCGAGCGUCAUUUCACCACUCAAGCCUGGCUUGGUGUUGGGCGACGUCCCCUUUGGGGACGCGCCUCGAAACGCUCGGCGGCGUGGCACCGGCUUUAAGCGUAGCAGAAUCUUUCGCUUUGGAAGUCGGGGCCCCGUCUGCCGGAAGACCUACUCGCAAGGUUGACCUCGGGUCAGGCAGGGAUACCCGCUGAACUUAAGCAUAUCAAUAAGCGGAGGA
rnacentral:misc_RNA from 1 species